UAGCUGAUGGGACCCGGAGGAGACCAACUCUGUGGGAUCUUACCGGUCGUUGGGAGUUAUGCGGUAGAAGGUGGUCUCGAAGAUACCCUGGCCCUGAGCCAUGUAGGGCUUUAAAGGUAAUAACCAACACCUUGAAUUGUGACCGGAGACCAAUAGGGAGCCAGUGCAGCUUGCAGAGAAUUGGUGUAAUGUGGGUGCACCUAGGUGUACCCAUGACAGCUCGCGCGGCUGCGUUCUGGACCAACUGUAGUGUCCGAACACCUUUCAAGGGUAGCCCCAUGUAGAGCACGUUGCAAUAAUCUAACCGUGAGGUGACAAGAUGGCUGGUUCUUUUCCUUUGAGAAUAGAAUCUCCAAUCACCAACAUUCACAUUCCUUUUUUAGGGGAUGCAGUGUGUGGUGCUUUUCUUUUAUCUAGGUCUACCCCUAAUUUUCUAAGGGGGCAGCAUGUCAGAUCCCUUUUGAAAUGCCACUAUCUCAAGAGUCCAUACUUUCUUGAAUCGGGAGUAGAGGCAGGACCUUACAGAUAGUUAUGCAGUUUUAAACUUUAAUGCCAAUAUAUCAGGUCAAAAUCUACAGCAAUUUAUAAGAGGCCAAACUAUUUAUUCUAAAACAAAUACAAAAUAUCCCUUUGACUAUGAAGUAAA